rnacentral:misc_RNA from 1 species
GAGGACAUUACAAAAGAAUGACAUCGCAGCAGCCAUCACUAGGACUGAUAUUUUUGAUUUCUUAGUUGACAUUGUGCCAAGGGAGGAUCUGAAAGAUGAAGUACUGGCAUCAAUAUCUAGGGGAUCAAUGCCUGUUGGGGGGCCUGCUGAUGCACUCUCUUAUGGUUAUAUGCCACAUCAGCAUGCAGCUCAAGUUGGAACUCCUGGGAUGAUAAUGGGUAAACCUGUGAUGGACCCAGCUAUCUAUACCCAGCAGUCUCAUGCCUUUAUGAUGCAACAGAUGUGGCCACAGCAGGGAUCAGAACAACAGCAAGCUCCCUCAGAUCAUUAAUGACCAGAUAUGAAAGUUGAGGUUGUGUAAGUUCUGUAUUUAACUUACCUAUCACUACAGCAUGAAAUUUGUGUCCGACAGCCCAAAACUGUUUAAGAUCAUAUGAGCAUGUUGUAGAGAACUACUGUGAUGUAAUUGAUAGCAGCAAUACUUGUCUCUUCUCAGAUUUACGUAUCCUUCAGGUAGAUUCUUUUGUAGCUGAAGGCUCAUAACAGUGAUAAUAUUUUUCUAAUGAAAAUUUCCAAUAGAGGAGUGAACGUUAGAACUUGGUUGUUUUUCCUUUAAUAUUGUUAGUAUAUUGUUUAAGCAUUAUAAUGCUCCUGUUUCUGUUUUGUUAUAUGAAACUACUUGUACUGGUCUUUAUUCCAGUAUCAAAUCUACCCGUUAAUUCUGCAUGUGGUUGUUCAGAUCAGCCAAUUUGUUUAAAAUGUUUAUUCUUGUUCAUCACUAUGCAGAGAGAAUGUUCACGUGGGUUUACAUUAAAUUAAUCAUAUGAAUGUUAGCGGUUCUUUAUUUUUAUUUCUUGUUCCUGAAAAUGAAUGUUGUUCUGUUCAUUUAAAGGAUUUUAUUUCGACAUUUUGGCAUAGACUUUUACUCUUCUCAUGCAUUCUGUUCUUUCAGAUAUUUGUUUCUUUAUAUACCAGUAUCCUUGUUCCUCUAAUUUUGGUAACGCAUUUAUUGAUUGAAACACCUUCUGAAUGUCAAACAGAAAAGAAAGAGGGCCCCUCAGUAAGCAAAAGGAGUGUUCGUGAUUGGAACUGAAAACAAGCAAGACUCCCUCUGUAUAUAACAUCCUAAAAAGAGUGGUUGAUCUUAGCUGUUUUUCUCUUUUUAGCCCUGAAUCUUUACUUUCAUCUUUCUUCUUGUGUAAAUGGAGAUUUCAAUGCUUGGAUUUUAGUUUAGCAUAAAGAAGAUUUAUUAACUUUAUAUUAUCGUCUCUCUAUUUCAUGUUUGUUAUAUUUGUAGCUUAUAAGAAUCCUGGGGAUUGUUGACUGCUUGCUAUGUAGCAACUGUAGGGUGGGGAAAGAGGAGAAAGCUUCUAGAGAUUACAAAAUCUUUAUACUGUGCCAAUGAUUUUAUAUAUAUGGUUGGUGAGUACUGUUUUGUAAAACCAUGGAUUAAUGUAAUCAUGCAAGCAAAAUCCAACUUGCACUUUUACACUAACGUACAGGGGAAAUGCAUGCUUGAGAAGCAAGGUUAUCAAGAAGUAAAGAAGCUACUUAUCUGUUACCAUGUUUCUGUUUCAUUACAAUCCCCCCAAGAAUCCCAUCUAUACUU